AUGCAGACUUCGAUCACUUCUACUGUGUUUCAGUGUGAAGAGGAACCAGGUCUGCUACAGUAAUUGGGUGCAAAGACGGUG
rnacentral:snoRNA from 12 species